GUGGCUGUAUUCGGUAUUGGUUGUAUUUGUCAGUAAUAUAAUGCAACCCUAAGCAGCCACAUACAUUAAAUCACAUGGUGCCUGCCGACAGUGUCUGUCUAGUCAUUAGAUGUUCUGUGCGAUGGCUCCAUACACG
rnacentral:snoRNA from 1 species